rnacentral:sRNA from 1 species
GGCUGGUCUGAAGGUAGUAAGUUCUCUCCAUUGAUUGCUCAUGGUUAGUUACAGAUCAAACUCCCUAUUCCACUUUCCCCUUCUCAUUACUGCACUUAGCCUUUU